rnacentral:rRNA from 1 species
AAUGAACGCUGGCGGCGCGCCUAAUACAUGCAAGUCGAGCGAGAAGACGUAGCAAUACGUUUGUAAAGCGGCGAACGGGUGAGGAAUACAUGGGUAACCUACCCUAGAGUGGGGAAUAACUAGCCGAAAGGUUAGCUAAUACCGCGUACGCUCCUUGGACUUCGGUUCAGGGAGGAAAGCGAUGCCGAGGGUAUCGCGCUCUUGGAUGGGCUCAUGUCCUAUCAGCUGUUGGUGAGGUAACGGCUCACCAAGGCUUCGACGGGUAGCUGGUCUGAGAGGACGAUCAGCCACACUGGGGACUGAGACACGGCCCAGACUCCUACGGGAGGCAGCAGUGGGGAAUCUUGCGCAAUGGGCGGAAGCCUGACGCAGCGACGCCGCGUGCGGGAAG